rnacentral:piRNA from 1 species
UNCUAAGCUCAGUUUCCUAAACGUUUCUCUCC